rfam:Aspergillus versicolor CBS 583.65 unplaced genomic scaffold ASPVEscaffold_8, whole genome shotgun sequence.
GCUCGCUUGGCCAAGUGGUAAGGCGCUUGACUUGUACACAACAUCUCGCAAUCAAGAGAGCGCUGGUUCGAUUCCGGCAGUGAGCA